GGCCUAACACAUGCAAGUCGAGCGGUAACAGGGGAAGCUUGCUUCCCGCUGACGAGCGGCGGACGGGUGAGUAAUGCUUAGGAAUCUGCCCAGUAGUGGGGGAUAGCCCGGGGAAACCCGGAUUAAUACCGCAUACGUCCUACGGGAGAAAGCAGGGGAUCUUCGGACCUUGCGCUAUUGGAUGAGCCUAAGUCGGAUUAGCUAGUUGGUGGGGUAAAGGCCUACCAAGGCGACGAUCCGUAGCUGGUCUGAGAGGAUGAUCAGCCACAUCGGGACUGAGACACGGCCCGAACUCCUACGGGAGGCAGCAGUGGGGAAUAUUGGACAAUGGGGGCAACCCUGAUCCAGCCAUGCCGCGUGUGUGAAGAAGGCUUUCGGGUUGUAAAGCACUUUCAGUAGGGAGGAAAACCUUAUGGCUAAUACCCAUGAGGCUUGACGUUACCUACAGAAGAAGCACCGGCUAACUCCGUGCCAGCAGCCGCGGUAAUACGGAGGGUGCAAGCGUUAAUCGGAAUUACUGGGCGUAAAGCGCGCGUAGGUGGUUUGGUAAGCGAGAUGUGAAAGCCCCGGGCUUAACCUGGGAACGGCA
rnacentral:rRNA from 1 species